rnacentral:lncRNA from 1 species
UUUUCUUUUAAAUUUUAGAAUACUUUAGAAUUUAAAAAUGGUAAAUAGAAUGUUAGUUUAGAGAAAUAUAAUAUUGACUCUUUUAAUGAUUUAAAAAUGGUUGAUAAUCGUUUCAGUAUUGAGUAAGUUUUUUUUUUUUUUUUUUGAGAGAAAGAUAGUAUGCUAUCUGCUUCGUUUAUUUCUUUUCGAAAUAAACUUAGCUAAAAAUGAGAAUCGGCACUUAAAGGGCGUGUUUAGUUCGCUUCUUUUUCACCCUAGAAUAGGAAUCGGAAUGGGUGAAUCCGUUUGUAGGUGUUUGGUAAGUGGGAGUCCCAUUCCGAUUCCGAUUCUCGAGUGGAAUGGGAAUCCCCCAAUCACCUCAUUUUUCAAUCGGGGCGGAAUGGAUAUUUAUUCGGAUUAAAUUUAUUUUUUCAACUUUUUUAAUUAAAAUAUGAGUUAAAAUUUAAAAAUUAAAAAUAUAAUUUUAAAUUUUAAUUUGAACUUAAAUUAAAAAUUAAAAUUUAAUCAAGUAUUUCGAAUCUAACUUAUGAAUUUGAAUUUAAAUUAAAUUUUAAUUUAUAUAAAGUUUUAUUCAAAUUUUAUUUCAAACUUAAAUUAAAUUUAUGGAUUCAAAUUAAAAUUUAAAUUGUAAUUUUAGUUUGAAUUUGAAUAAAUCAAAAUUUAGUUUCAUAAUUUGAAUUAUCCACUGAACUUCAAAGUUUAAUUUUUUUUUAAAAAAAUAGAUUUAAAAUUUUGACAUUAUUUCAAAAUUUUGAUAUAAAUAUUUAAUAUUUAAUUUUUAAUUUGAAUUUAAAUUAAUAUAUUAUAAAUAUAAUGUUAAUAUAUUAAUUUGAUUACGUUUUUUAUAUCCACCUAAACCAAACACCGACAAUGGGAAUGAUUUAUUCCGAUUCCGAUUCAGGUAAUGAACCAAACAGAAUUAGGUAAUGAGUCAUUCUGAUUCCGAUUCCAGCUUAUUUUGAUUCCGAUUUCGAUUCCGACUCCAACUUGGAACCAAACAUGCCCAAAGUGUACAAGACAUAGGAUCCAUAGGUAUUGGCUGUGACUUGGCCCAAUUAAUCUCAUGCCACUUCGAACAUGAGUCGGCCCAACUCGGCCUCCUACCAUUUCGAACAUGACUCGAUCCAACCUGACAUCCCGCUAUAGGACAUGAUGCUAGCUUCUUUAAGCCAAUAUUUAUGAGUAAUAAGAUAUUGUUUAUGCUUUGAAAGAAUUUGGAAU